rnacentral:rRNA from 1 species
CUCCCUCUUGGCCGCCGUCCUAGUCUCAACCAUAAACGAUGCCGACCAGGGAUCGGCGGAUGUUGCUUAUAGGACUCCGCCGGCACCUUAUGAGAAAUCAAAGUCUUUGGGUUCCGGGGGGAGUUAUGGUCGCAAGGCUGAAACUUAAAGGAAUUGACGGAAGGGCACCACCAGGCGUGGAGUCUGCGGCUUAAUUUGACUCAACGGGGAAACUUACCAGGUCCAGACAUAGCAAGGAUUGACGGUCUGGAGANCUCUUUCUUUUACUAUAA